rnacentral:lncRNA from 1 species
UGUUUCCUUGAUGAGAUCAAAAGAGGAGAUGAGGUCAUGUGCAAAUAAUUACUUAUCUGAUGAUGGGACUUUGCAGGUAAAUUAGCAUCUCACUAACAAAUGGACUGAACUUAUUGGCUAUAGAAAGCCUUCUUUUGCUAGAUGUGCUUGAAGUAUGCAGGAAGGCUAUUUUAGGUUCCUAUGAGACAAGAGUUUGGAAAUAAGUUUAGGCUGUAGCUUCCCAGACUUUAUCUGUGCUGCUUAAGUUUCCAGAAAGAAUAGUGGUGUGCACCUGUAAUCCCAGCUACUUGGGAGGCUGAGGCAGGAGAAUCACUUGAACUGGGGAAAUGGAGGUUGCAGUGAGCUGAGAUUGUGCCAUUGCACUCCAGCCUAGGCAACAAGAGUGAAACUCCAUCUCAGAAAAAAAAAGGAAGAAAGAAAAAACAUAAAACUGUGCAGCCACUUCAGAAAACAGUUUGGCAAUACCUCAUAAAGUUAAACAUAGAGCUGGUAUAUGACCCAGCAAUUCUACUUCUUGGUAUAUGCCCAAGAGAAAUGAAAACAAAUGUUCACAUGAAAAACUUGUGCAUGAAUGUUCAUAGCAGGCUGGCUAUUUCUUCUUUUAUUUCUUCAAAAGUCCUCUUACAGAUGCCAUUCUUGUAUAUAGCUUUCCCAGAGCACAGGGAUAAAAGGUGAACACCACCAAAAAAUGCGAAGAUAAGGAAUUUCAUUUUUUUUCCAGUUGGUUUUCUUGUUAAGAUAAUCUACAUAAAUAAGAAAC